GCCUGGGAAGCUGAGUUGAUAGAGCUUCAGACUUUUAACCUGAGGGGCUGGGGUUCAAGACCCUCUUCAGGAA
rnacentral:tRNA from 1 species